GGUUUUAUCGUAUAAUGGUUAGUACAAGAGAUUCUGAGAUCAUCCUCCAGUCUUCUCUAAAUCUGGGUUCGAUCCCCAGUAGAACCU